UCAAGGAUUGAUGUUCUCUGC
rnacentral:siRNA from 1 species